UGGCGGAGUACUCCCGCAGAAAAUUUUUGAAAUUUGAAUCCCGGAAAUGUCAUUUCCUGCAUUAUGAGCAUCCAAAUUUGCUCCAAAAUUUAUGCUAACUGUACUUGUAUUUGAAAUAAAUAAAGGAAAAAACGCACAAAAAGUAAAAAAAAAUCCAUCAUUUAUUAUUACUUAUUAGAGGAGGAUAGCAAUGAUCAGGUGUGUGGGGGUGUACUCCCCCAGAACAUUUUUGAAAUUUGAAGCACGGAAAUGCCAUUUCCUGCAUUCUGAGCAUUCAAAUUUGCUCUAAAAUUUAUGCUAACUAUACUUGUAUUUCAAAUAAAAGAUGGAAAAAAUGCACAAAAAGUAAAAAAGAAUAUUAACUGUAAUUUCUCAUUACUUAUUAGAGGGAUAAUCCCCAGAAAAUUUUUGAAAUU